AACCUGCCCAAGAGAUCGGGAUAACACCUGGAAACAGAUGCUAAUACCGGAUAACAAUAGAUGAUGCCUAUCAACUGUUUAAAAGAUGGUUCUGCUAUCACUCUUGGAUGGACCUGCGGUGCAUUAGCUAGUUGGUAGGGUAACGGCCUACCAAGGCGAUGAUGCAUAGCCGAGUUGAGAGACUGAUCGGCCACAUUGGGACUGAGACACGGCCCAAACUCCUACGGGAGGCAGCAGCG
rnacentral:rRNA from 1 species